rnacentral:lncRNA from 1 species
CCAAUUCAUCAAUCUCUCUCAAUUUCUCUCAAUCUCUCUCAAUCUCUCUCAAUCUAUAUCUAAUUUCUCUUCUAUAAUUGCUUAUUUUAUUAUUGCAAUUUCAUGAAAAUUGUGAAGUUGGUGAAUUGAAGUAUUCAAGUUUUCAACGAUUUGCAAUAUUCAAGAAGUUGUUGAGCAAUUCAGUAAACUCGUUCCAACUCUUAAGUUUUAAGAAUAUAUUUUUGUGUGUUUUAGUUUGCAUAAUUGUAAUUAAUAUGGAAUUUUCUUUAAAAAAAUGUUUGGUGGUAAGGGAAAAGCUAAAAUUGGUGAAAGUAGUGGUCAACCUACUACCCUCCCCCCGGCUCCCCGACCUUCUUCAUUUACCCGUCAUGCAGCUCCUAUUAUUCUUGAUAGUGAUAACCCUUGUUUUUAAUUUUUCGAUAGUCAAUUUUGCCAUAAUGUUGCACCGGGUGAACAAUUAAAUGAAGNNNNNNNNNNNNNNNNNNNNNNNNNNNNNNNNNNCUACUAUCCUCCCCCCGGCUCCCCGGCCUUCUUCAUUUACCCGUCCUGCUGCUCCUAUUAUUCUUGAUAGUGAUAACCCUGUUUUCAAUUUUCCGAUAGUCAAUUUUGCCAUAAUGUUGCACCGGGUGAACAACUAAAUGAAGAAAUUAUGAAUGUUCUUUAUCCUAAUCAAACUAUCUUAGAAAAUGAUGAGGAAAAUGAGGAUGUAGAUGAAACCCAACCGGAUUUAGAUGAUACACCUACUAGUCAUGUUAAUAACCCAACUGAUGUCCCGCCCGACCCACCUGUAGAAACCCCUACAUUUAAUAGACAACCUUCUAAACGCCCCGAAACAUCAAUUGUUUGGCAUUUUUUUACUCAAGUAAGAGAACAAAGUAAGGCUAAGUGUAGAACUUGUGGGAAAUUGCUAGCGCAUAAAU